rnacentral:rRNA from 1 species
CCUACGGGAGGCAGCAGUCGGGAAUUUUGGGCAAUGGGCGAAAGCCUGACCCAGCAACGCCGCGUGAAGGAUGAAAUCCUUCGGGAUGUAAACUUCGCAAGAACAGGAAGAAUAAGUAAGAGUCAAUAUCUCUUACGAUGACGGUACUGUUUGUAAGCUCCGGCUAACUCCGUGCCAGCAGCCGCGGUAAUACGGGGGGAGCAAGCGUUGUUCGGAUUUACUGGGCGUAAAGGGCGCGUAGGCGGCCACCGCAAGUCGACUGUGAAAUCUUCGGGCUUAACUCGGAAAGGUCAGCCGAUACUGCGGGGCUAGAGUGCAGAAGGGGCAACUGGAAUUCUCGGUGUAGCGGUGAAAUGCGUAGAUAUCGAGAGGAACACCUGCGGCGAAGGCGGGUUGCUGGGCUGACACUGACGCUGAGGCGCGAAAGCUAGGGGAGCGAACGGGAUUAGAUACCCCGGUAGUCCUAGCCUUAAACGAUGAAUGCUUGGUGUCUGGGGUUUUAUAGUCCCCGGGUGCCGUCGCUAACGCUUUAAGCAUUCCGCCUGGGGAGUACGGUCGCAAGACUGAAACUCAAAGGAAUUGACGG